rnacentral:rRNA from 1 species
GACGAACGCUGGCGGCGUGCUUAACACAUGCCAGUCGAACGGAAAGGCCCUGCUUUCAGGGUACUCGAGUGGCGAACGGGUGAGUAACACGUGGGUGAUCUGCCCUCCACUUCGGGAUAAGCCUGGGAAACUGGGUCUAAUACCUGAUAGGUGCCAUUUUUAGUGUGGUGGUUGGAAAGUUUUUUCGGUGUAGGAUGAGCUCGCUGCCUAUCUGCUUGUUGGUGUGGUAAUGGCCUACCAAGGCGGCGACGGGUAGCCGGCCUGAGAGGGUGGACGGCGACCUUGGGACUGAGAGAAGGCACAGACACCGACGGGAGGCAGAAGUGGGGAAUAUUGCACAAUGGGCGCAAGCCUGAUGAAGCGACGCCGCGUGGGGGAUGACGGCCUUAGGGUUGUAAACCACUUUCGCUAGGGACGAAGCUUUUUGUGACGGUACCUAGAUAAGAAGCAACGGCUAACUACGUG